GACGAACGCUGGCGGCGUGCCUAAUACAUGCAAGUCGAACGCAGUGGGGACGGGUGAGUAACACGUGGGUAACCUCCCAUCAGAGGGGAUAACACUUGGAAACAGGUGCUAAAACCGAUACUGCAGUAUGUACCCGCGGGGCUUUAGCAAGUUGGUGAGGUAACGGCUCACCAAGGCCACGAUGCAUAGCCGACCUGAGAGGGUGAUCGGCCACCCUGGGACUGAGACACGGCCCAGACUCCGACGGGAGGCAACAGUAGGGAAUCGUCGGCAAGGGACGCAAGCCUGACCGAGCAACGCCGCGUGAGUGAAGAAGGUUUGCGGAUCGUAAAACUCUGUUGUUAGAGAAGCGGUAUCUAACCAGAAAGCCACGGCUAACUACGUGCCAGCAGCCGCGGUAAUAC
rnacentral:rRNA from 1 species